rnacentral:rRNA from 1 species
CUGCCCAGUGACCUAAAAGUUUAACGGCCGCGGUAUUCUGACCGUGCAAAGGUAGCGUAAUCACUUGUCCUUUAAAUGAAGACCUGUAUGAAUGGCGCCACGAAAGCUUAACUGUCUCCCUCCCCCAGUCAAUGAAAUUGAUCUCCCCGUGCAGAAGCGGGGAUAAAAACAUAAGACGAGAAGACCCUGUGGAGCUUUAGAUACUAAAUCCGGACCAUAUACAUGCCAACAAAUAAAUUAAGUGCGUAAAACAUAUCGUAACCGAAUUGAUAUCUUUGGUUGGGGCGACCAUGGGGAAAUAAAAAACCCCCAAGAGGAAAGAAGCACUACCCCUUUUACACCGCUUCCACAAAAAAGGUUGACAAACCUAAUUCACAAAACCUUUGACCUAUAAUGAUCCGGCAAAGCCGAUCAACGAACCGAGUUACCCCAGGGAUAACAGCGCAAUCCUCUUCAAGAGCCCCUAUCGACAAGAGGGUUUACGACCUCGAUGUUGGAUCAGGACAUCCUAAUAGUGCAGCCGCCAUUAAGGGUUCGUUUGUUCAACGAUUAAAGUCC